UUAUUAUUAAUAAUUAUUAAUUCAUUAUCAUCAAACUUAAGAUAUUUACAGAUUCCACUUUUUACGGGUUUACGUUUUUGGCGGAAAAAAUGACAGGUUUACGUUUUUGGCGGGAAAAUAACAGGUUUACGUUUUUUGCGGGAAAAACAUGGGUUUACGUUUUUGGCGGGAAAAUCAUGGGUUUACGUUUUUUGGCAGAAAAAUUACGGGUUUACUUUUUUGGCUAGAAAAUUACGGGUUUACGUUUUUGGCGGGAAAAUCACGCGUUUACGUUUUUGGCGGAAAAUCACGGGUUUUCGUUUUUGGCGGGAAAAUCACGGGUUUUUGUUUUUGGCGGAAAAAUUACGGGUUUACGUUUUUGGCGGGAAAAUCACGGGUUUACGUUUUUGACGGAAAAAUCACGGGUUUACGUUUUUGGCGGGAAAAUCAUGGGUUUAUGUUUUUGGCGGGAAAAUCACGGUUUUAUGUUUUUAGGUGGAAAAAUUACGAGUUUACCUUUUUUCAAUUUCAUCGCUUGUAUAUUUAAGAAAUUUGGAAAAUAUUGAUUUUAUUAAAUUGGUUUAGAUGUGUUGGUUAAACUUAAAUUGACAUUUCUUUAGAGAUUUUAGUUGGUUUAAUUCAAUUUUAUAAUACUUGAUGGGUUAAUUGGGUAAAUCAUUUAAACCAUUAGCCAUUACAAUCCAACUCAUUUUACUCAUCAAACCAAUUGACAGAAUAACUCAUUUGACCCGUCAACUCAUUUGAGUCGAAAUUUUCAACUCAUUAGAGUUCAUGGGUUGAGUUGAGUUGAGUUGACCUAUGAAUUUUGACCCAUUUUGAAACCCCUAACUUUCUAUAUAGGAACAGAAAUGAUGAUGACGAUUGGUUUCCCAAAAAUCAAUAAAUAAAUAACAAAAAAGAACCACAUGCGAAGAACAAUUAUGAUCUGAUACAAUAUAUUCAUAUAGUAUAAAAAGAUCUUCCUAGGGGGUCAUGCCAAUUUCUACAUACACAGUACC
rnacentral:sRNA from 1 species